rnacentral:rRNA from 1 species
GACGAGUCUCACGAACGUUUAUUCGGAAUUACUGGGCUUAAAGGGUGCGUAGGCGGUGGAGUAAGUCGGAUGUGAAAUACCUUAGCUUAACUAGGGAACUGCACUCGAUACUACUUUUGCUUAGAGUAAGACAGAGGUGAGUGGAACUGAGGGUGGAGCGGUGAAAAUGCGUUGAUAUCCUCAGGAACACCGGUGGCGAAGGCGACUCACUGGGUCUUUACUGACGCUGAUGCACGAAAAGCUAGGGUAGCAAACGGG